CAAAACCAAAACACUCCAAACCCAUCACCGGAAAUGUGCGACACCUUGAGCUUGAAGAACAACUACCACCUCUGCGAGGAGGUUGGCCGCGGCCGAUUUGGCACCAUCUCUCGCUGCUUUUCCCCCGUCAAGAACGAAUUUUUCGCCUGUAAAAUCAUCGACAAGAACCUCCUUACCGAUCCAACCGACCGCGAGUGCCUCCAGAACGAAGCCAAGAUCAUGACUAUUUUGUCUCCGCAUCCAAACAUUGUUCAGAUCCACGACGUUUAUGAUACCGAUGACUCCCUCACCAUGGUCAUGGAGCUUUGCGAGCAGUAUACUCUUUAUGAUCGGAUCAACAAGAGUAAUGGCGGAUUAUGCGAGGGGAAAUCCGCUUCCAUUAUGAAACAGUUGUUAAAUGCGAUUGCCCAUUGUCAUAGAUUCAAUAUCGUUCACAGGGACAUAAAGCCAGAUAAUAUAUUGUUCGAUUCGAGAAACAGGGUGAAAUUGGCGGAUUUUGGUUCGGCCGAUUGGCUUGGGGAGGAGAGGACGAUGAGUGGUGUGGUGGGAACGCCGUAUUACGUGGCGCCCGAGGUGGUCAUGGGGAGGGAGUAUAAUGAGAAAUCUGAUGUGUGGAGCGCUGGCGUCGUUUUAUAUGUGAUGUUGGCAGGGAUCCCACCAUUUUACGGCGAGACUGUAGAGGAGAUAUUUGAAGCCGUUAUAAGAGGGAAUCUGAGGUUUCCGCCGCGGAUUUUUAGGACUGUUUCUGCUGCGGCGAAGGAUCUGAUGAGAAAGAUGAUCUGCAGAGAUGUUUCACGGCGGUUCUCAGCUGAACAAGCUCUAAGACACCCAUGGAUUGUAAACGGCGGAGAGACAAUUUCAAUGGACUAAUCUGCCCUCGGAAAAAGCAAGAAAAUGUAACGGAAAGCCAAUAGCUUAUCACUGUGUACAUACAGGUCUACCUAUCAGCCCAUGACAUCCAAGUGUUCCCUGUAGAACACAAAGCCCCAUGAUGUGUACUUCCCGAAUUUCAGUUUUUGCACGCUAGAUAAGGAGCUAUCGACAAAAGCAUCACAUGACAGGCUCUUCUAACAAGAAACCGAGCACUACUUUAAUAUUUUUUUCUUCUUCCAGGCUUUUGUGUUUUGAGGUAAAUAUGUAAAGAAAAUAAUAAAAUAAAAGACUGAGAGAAACCCAUCUUUCCCCGCUUUUGCCCCUUCUUUUGGCCUGAGGAUGUGAGAAAGCUAACGAGUUGUACUGAGUAAACUGGUUUUGCUUAUCUGUUUUCCUCCCUUUUUAUGUAAGAAUCUUGUUUUGUGAAAAAAUAUUUGGAUGUUUUACUGGUUCAUUUAGAUAAAAUCUUACUUGAAAGAACCAUGAAGCAUGUUUAAAGGAUGCUUGAUUGUAGACUUCGACUGUGCUUCAAUGGAGGCAUAUGCUUUAGGCAUAUGCCGAUACCUUCAAUGUUGAAAAUGUUAAAGAAAUUGAAGUCAAAAGUUCAACACUGCAAACC
rnacentral:misc_RNA from 1 species